ensembl:miRNA
GUUGGGGGCUGGGGUGCCCACCCCGCAAGCUAUCACUGAGCGACUUCCGGUCUGUGAGCCCUGUCCUCCGC